rnacentral:rRNA from 1 species
UGUUCCUUCCUAUAUCUACGCAUUUCACCGCUACACAGGAAAUUCCACCACCCUCUACCGUACUCUAGCUUGCCAGUUUUGGAUGCAGUUCCCAGGUUGAGCCCGGGGCUUUCACAUCCAACUUAACAAACCACCUACGCGCGCUUUACGCCCAGUAAUUCCGAUUAACGCUUGCACCCUCUGUAUUACCGCGGCUGCUGGCACAGAGUUAGCCGGUGCUUAUUCUGUCGGUAACGUCAAAACAGCAAGGUAUUAACUUACUGCCCUUCCUCCCAACUUAAAGUGCUUUACAAUCCGAAGACCUUCUUCACACACGCGGCAUGGCUGGAUCAGGCUUUCGCCCAUUGUCCAAUAUUCCCCACUGCUGCCUCCCGUAGGAGUCUGGACCGUGUCUCAGUUCCAGUGUGACUGAUCAUCCUCUCAGACCAGUUACGGAUCGUCGCCUUGGUGAGCCAUUACCCCACCAACUAGCUAAUCCGACCUAGGCUCAUCUGAUAGCGCAAGGCCCGAAGGUCCCCUGCUUUCUCCCGUAGGACGUAUGCGGUAUUAGCGUUCCUUUCGAAACGUUGUCCCCCACUACCAGGCAGAUUCCUAGGCAUUACUCACCCGUCCGCCGCUGAAUCAAGGAGCAAGCUCCCGUCAUCCGCUCGACUUGCAUGUGUUAGGCCUGCCGCCAGCGUUCAAU